AACGCAUCUUGCGCUCCUUGGUAUUCCGAGGAGCAUGCCUGUUUGAGUGUCAUUUAAGUUCUCAACCACAUUGAUUGUUUUUGGUGUGGCUUGGAUUUGGGGGUUUUUUUUUGCAGGCUUUGGAAAUGAAGUCUGCUCCCCUGAAAUGCAUUAGUAGUAUCUGAGCAGAAAAAACUACUACAGGUGUGAUAAUUUAUCUAUGCCUUGGUAAAAUGCUGCAUGAACAGAUUGCACUGCUUAUAACGAGUGAGAAACCCCUUUCCUUGGGGGUGCCACAUUUCGAUGAAUUUGACCUCAAAUCAGGUAGGACUACCCGCUGAACUUAA
rnacentral:misc_RNA from 1 species